CAUGCGAGUCGUUGUAGCAAUACAAGGCAUACGGCUCAGUAACGCGUAGUCAACCUAACCUAUGGACGGGAAUAACCUCGGGAAACUGAGAAUAAUGCCCGAUAGAACAUUAUGCCUGGAAUGGUUUAUGUUCCAAAUGAUUUAUCGCCAUAGGAUGGGACUGCGGCCUAUCAGUUUGUUGGUGAGGUAAUGGCCCACCAAGACUAUUACAGGUACGGGCUCUGAGAGGAGUAGCCCGGAGAUGGGUACUGAGACACGGACCCAGGCCCUAUGGGGCGCAGCAGGCGAGAAAACUUUGCAAUGUGCGAAAGCACGACAAGGUUAAUCCGAGUGAUUUCUGCUAAAGAGAUCUUUUGUUAGUCCUAGAAACACUAACGAAUAAGGGGUGGGCAAGUUCUGGUGUCAGCCGCCGCGGUAAAACCAGCACCUCAAGUGGUCAGGAUGAUUAUUGGGCCUAAAGCAUCCGUAGCCGGCUCUGUAAGUUUUCGGUUAAAUCUGUACGCUCAACGUACAGGCUGCCGGGAAUACUGCAGAACUAGGGAGUGGGAGAGGUAGACGGUACUCGGUAGGAAGUGGUAAAAUGCUUUGAUCUAUCGAUGACCACCUGUGGCGAAGGCGGUCUACCAGAACAUGUCCGACGGUGAGGGAUGAAAGCUGGGGGAGCAAACCGGAUUAGAUACCCGGGUAGUCCCAGCUGUAAACUAUGCAAACUCAGUGAUGCAUUGGCUUGUGGCCAAUGCAGUGCUGCAGGGAAGCCGUUAAGUUUGCCGCCUGGGAAGUACGUACGCAAGUAUGAAACUUAAAGGAAUUGGCGGGGGAGCACCACAA
rnacentral:rRNA from 1 species